rnacentral:rRNA from 1 species
AGAGUUUGAUCAUGGCUCAGAUUGAACGCUGGCGGCAGGCCUAACACAUGCAAGUCGAACGGUAACAGGAAGCAGCUUGCUGCUUCGCUGACGAGUGGCGGACGGGUGAGUAAUGUCUGGGAAACUGCCUGAUGGAGGGGGAUAACUACUGGAAACGGUGGCUAAUACCGCAUAACGUCGCAAGACCAAAGAGGGGGACCUUCGGGCCUCUUGCCAUCAGAUGUGCCCAGAUGGGAUUAGCUUGUUGGUGAGGUAACGGCUCACCAAGGCGACGAUCCCUAGCUGGUCUGAGAGGAUGACCAGCCACACUGGAACUGAGACACGGUCCAGACUCCUACGGGAGGCAGCAGUGGGGAAUAUUGCACAAUGGGCGCAAGCCUGAUGCAGCCAUGCCGCGUGUAUGAAGAAGGCCUUCGGGUUGUAAAGUACUUUCAGCGGGGAGGAAGGUGUUGUGGUUAAUAACCACAGCAAUUGACGUUACCCGCAGAAGAAGCACCGGCUAACUCCGUGCCAGCAGCCGCGGUAAUACGGAGGGUGCAAGCGUUAAUCGGAAUUACUGGGCGUAAAGCGCACGCAGGCGGUCUGUCAAGUCGGAUGUGAAAUCCCCGGGCUCAACCUGGGAACUGCAUUCGAAACUGGCAGGCUUGAGUCUUGUAGAGGGGGGUAGAAUUCCAGGUGUAGCGGUGAAAUGCGUAGAGAUCUGGAGGAAUACCGGUGGCGAAGGCGGCCCCCUGGACAAAGACUGACGCUCAGGUGCGAAAGCGUGGGGAGCAAACAGGAUUAGAUACCCUGGUAGUCCACGCCGUAAACGAUGUCUACUUGGAGGUUGUGCCCUUGAGGCGUGGCUUCCGGAGCUAACGCGUUAAGUAGACCGCCUGGGGAGUACGGCCGCAAGGUUAAAACUCAAAUGAAUUGACGGGGGCCCGCACAAGCGGUGGAGCAUGUGGUUUAAUUCGAUGCAACGCGAAGAACCUUACCUGGUCUUGACAUCCACAGAACUUUCCAGAGAUGGAUUGGUGCCUUCGGGAACUGUGAGACAGGUGCUGCAUGGCUGUCGUCAGCUCGUGUUGUGAAAUGUUGGGUUAAGUCCCGCAACGAGCGCAACCCUUAUCCUUUGUUGCCAGCGAUUAGGUCGGGAACUCAAAGGAGACUGCCAGUGAUAAACUGGAGGAAGGUGGGGAUGACGUCAAGUCAUCAUGGCCCUUACGACCAGGGCUACACACGUGCUACAAUGGCGCAUACAAAGAGAAGCGACCUCGCGAGAGCAAGCGGACCUCAUAAAGUGCGUCGUAGUCCGGAUUGGAGUCUGCAACUCGACUCCAUGAAGUCGGAAUCGCUAGUAAUCGUGGAUCAGAAUGCCACGGUGAAUACGUUCCCGGGCCUUGUACACACCGCCCGUCACACCAUGGGAGUGGGUUGCAAAAGAAGUAGGUAGCUUAACCUUCGGGAGGGCGCUUACCACUUUGUGAUUCAUGACUGGGGUGAAGUCGUAACAAGGUAACCGUAGGGGAACCUGCGGUUGGAUCACCUCCUU